rnacentral:rRNA from 1 species
GACCAGAGUCGGCCGUGGGGGUUCAGCGGGCAUUCGUUGCCCGUGCAAUCCCCCGCGGCCGGGCCAGCGUCGGUUUCGACGGCCGGUCAAAGGCCCCCGGAAUGUGUCGCCUCUCGGGGCGUCUUAUAGCCGGGGGUGCAAUGCGGCCAGUCGGGACCGAGGAACGCGCUCCGGCACGGACGCUGGCUUAAUGGUCGUCAGCGACCCGUCUUGA